rnacentral:tRNA from 1 species
UAGCUCAGUUGGUAGAGCAAUGGUGUUUGCAACACCCAGGGGUUGUGGGUUCGAUUCCCAC